rnacentral:rRNA from 1 species
AGUGAACGCUGGCGGUAGGCCUAACACAUGCAAGUCGAACGGCAGCACAGUAAGAGCUUGCUCUUACGGGUGGCGAGUGGCGGACGGGUGAGGAAUACAUCGGAAUCUACUUUUUCGUGGGGGAUAACGUAGGGAAACUUACGCUAAUACCGCAUACGACCUACGGGUGAAAGCAGUGGAUCUUCGGACCUUGCGCGAUUGAAUGAGCCGCUGUCGGAUUAGCUAGUUGGCGGGGUAAAGGCCCACCAAGGCGACGAUCCGUAGCUGGUCUGAGAGGAUGAUCAGCCACACUGGAACUGAGACACGGUCCAGACUCCUACGGGAGGCAGCAGUGGGGAAUAUUGGACAAUGGGCGCAAGCCUGAUCCAGCCAUACCGCGUGGGUGAAGAAGGACUUCGGGUUGUAAAGCCCUUUUGUUGGGAAAGAAAAGCAGCAGGUUAAUACCCCGCUGUUCUGACGGUACCCAAAGAAUAAGCACCGGCUAACUUCGUG